rnacentral:rRNA from 1 species
GAUGAACGCUGGCGGCGUGCCUAAUACAUGCAAGUCGAGCGAAUGGAUUAAGAGCUUGCUCUUAUGAAGUUAGCGGCGGACGGGUGAGUAACACGUGGGUAACCUGCCCAUAAGACUGGGAUAACUCCGGGAAACCGGGGCUAAUACCGGAUAACAUUUUGAACCGCAUGGUUCGAAAUUGAAAGGCGGCUUCGGCUGUCACUUAUGGAUGGACCCGCGUCGCAUUAGCUAGUUGGUGAGGUAACGGCUCACCAAGGUAACGAUGCGUAGCCGGCAUGGGAGGGUGAUCGGCCACACUGGGACUGAGACACGGCCCAGACUCCUACGGGAGGCAGCAGUAGGGAAUCUUCCGCAAUGGACGAAAGUCUGACGGAGCAACGCCGCGUGAGUGAUGAAGGCUUUCGGGUCGUAAAACUCUGUUGUUAGGGAAGAACAAGUGCUAGUUGAAUAAGCUGGCACCUUGACGGUACCUAACCAGAAAGCCACGGCUAACUACGUGCCAGCCGCCGCAGUAA